GAACGCGCAGCAUUCUGUAGCAAUACAGGGUGUGGGCGCGUGGCGAACGGGUGCGUAACACGUGGAUAACCUUCCUUGAGGUGGGGAAUAACCCAGUGAAAAUUGGGCUAAUACCGCAUAACAUCGCGAUGGCACAUGCUGAUGCGAUCAAAGGCGCAAGUCGCCACAAGAGGGAUCCGCGGCCGAUUAGCUAGUUGGCGAGGUAAUGGCUCACCAAGGCAAUGAUCGGUAGCCGGACUGAGAGGUUGGCCGGCCACACUGGAACUGAGACACGGUCCAGACUCCUACGGGAGGCAGCAGUGGGGAAUCUUGCACAAUGGACGAAAGUCUGAUGCAGCAACGCCGCGUGGGGGAUGAAGCUUCUCGGAGUGUAAACCCCUUUCGACCCGGAAGAAUGCUCGCAAGGGUAUGACGGUACGGGUAUAAGAAGCCCCGGCUAACUACGUG
rnacentral:rRNA from 1 species